GCACUGUUGAAGAGUCCCAUACUAGGACGAAACGGUUGUCUAGUGC
rnacentral:hammerhead_ribozyme from 1 species